GGAAAAUCUGAGUAAUGUACAUUUUGUGUCGAAUGAACUAAAAAUACAUAAAUUUUUGCAUAGAUAGAAUGACAUUAGAAGAACAUACACCAUAAUGUUAACAGUGAUUAUCUCUGGGUGGUGGAAAAUGAGUGAUUUAUCAGUUUGCUUACUUUCUUGUUUUUAUAUGCAAUGAACAGGCAUGCGCUGACAGUUUUUAAAUGAAGUGUGGAAAUUAUAGAUUGUGCAGUCAUAGUCAACGUUCAUUGAGAGCUUACUUUAUAUAAAGCAUCAUGCUGGGCAUUGUGCUUUGUUUUUUAAAAAAAUCAAAUGCCCUCCAGACUUAAGGAUGAUGGCCAAAAGGUCCGCUUAUUACCCAACUACAAUAAUAGGAAGGACAGGUAAUCAAAGGCAAUUGCCACGACAAAUAGAAGAGAUGCCAAAGUCAACAUUUUUUCAAGGAGCUAUAAAGCCCGCAGAGGAGUCGGCUGAUGGCACAGUGUUCGCUGCUGCACCGCUCAGAGGCUGGGUGACCCGCGAAGAAGUAAGUACUUGUUUAUUUGCAGACCUUGGCCGAUUCAGCGUUAAAAAACGCUAGGGGCUCGAUGCACCUCCCUGGCGGUAGUGCCUCCGACCUCCGCCGGGUCGGGUCGCGCCGCCCUCUCCCAGGAGAGACAAAUAGGUGUCCCACGUGGCAGCCGCGCCCCAGGCGCCCCUCCUGUGGUGCCGUAGCGCCCCCUGGCCCGAGCUGCGCCCGCGCCUGUGAACAGAGCUGCCCCGGCACCUAGCGCUGGUCGCCGCGCUCCUCCCGUUAUAUCAACAUGCCCCCUUUCCUGUUGCUGGAAACCAUCUGUAUUUUCCUGUUUUCCAGAGUGCCCCCAUCUCUCCCUCUCCAGGAAGUCCAUGUAAGCAGAGAAACCAUCGGGAAGAUUUCAGUUGCCAGCAAAAUGAUGUGGUGCUCCGCUGCAGUGGACAUCCUGUUUCUGUUAGAUGGGUCUAACAGCGUCGGGAAAGGGAGCUUUGAAAGGUCCAAGCACUUUGCCAUUACAGUCUGUGACGCUCUGGACAUCAGCACCGAGAGGGUCAGAGUGGGAGCGUUCCAAUUCAGUUCCACUCCUCAUCUGGAAUUCCCCUUGGAUUCAUUUUCAACCCAACAGGAAGUGAAGGCAAAAAUCAAGAGGAUGAUUUUCAAAGGAGGGCACACGGAUACAGGACUUGCUCUGAAAUACCUUCUGAACAGAGGGUUUCCUGGAGGCAGAAAUGCCUCUGUGCCCCAGAUCCUUGUCAUCGUCACUGAUGGGAAGUCCCAGGGACAUGUGGCACUGCCAGCCAAGCAGCUGAAGGAAAAGGGUGUCACUGUGUUUGCUGUGGGGGUCAGGUUUCCCAGGUGGGAGGAGCUGCAUGCACUGGCCAGCGAGCCGAGAGAGCAGCAUGUGCUGUUGGCUGAGCAGGUGGAGGACGCCACUAACGGCCUCUUCAGCACCCUCAGCAACUCUGCCAUCUGUUCCAGCACCACGCCAGACUGCCGGGUCGAAGCGCACCCCUGUGAGCGCAGGACGCUGGAGAUGGUCCGGGAGUUUGCCGGCAAUGCCCCGUGCUGGAGAGGAUCGCGGCGGGCCCCUGCGGUGCUGGCUGCACACUGUCCGUUCUACAGCUGGAAGAGAGUGUUCCUAGCCCACCCUGCUACCUGCUACAGGACCACCUGCCCAGGCCCCUGUGACUCGCAGCCCUGCCAGAAUGGAGGCACAUGUGUUCCAGAAGGACUGGACGGGUACCAAUGCCUCUGCCCGCUGGCCUUUGGAGGGGAGGCUAACUGUGCCCCGAAGCUGAGCCUGGAUUGCAGGGUCGACCUUCUCUUCCUGCUGGACAGCUCUGCAGGCACCACUCUGGACGGCUUCCUGCGGGCCAAGGCCUUCGUGAAGCAGUUUGUGCAGGCCGUGCUGAGUGAGGACUCUCGGGCCCGAGUGGGUGUGGCCACGUACAGCAGGGAGCUGCUGGUGGCGGUGCCUGUUGGGGAGUACCAGGAUGUGCCUGACCUGGUCAGGAGCCUUGAUGGCAUUCCCUUCCGUGGUGGCCCCACCCUGAUGGGCAGUGCCUUGCGGCAGGCAGCAGACCGUGGCUUUGGGAGCGCCACCAGGACGGGCCAGGACCGGCCACGCAGAGUGGUGGUUUUGCUCACUGAGUCACGCUCCGAGGAUGAGGUCGCGGGCCCAGCGCGUCACGCAAGGGCGCGAGAGCUGCUCCUGCUGGGUGUAGGCAGUGAGGCCGUGCGGGCAGAGCUGGAGGAGAUCACGGGCAGCCCAAAGCAUGUGAUGGUCUACUCGGACCCUCAGGAUCUGCUCAAGCAAAUCCCUGAGCUGCAGGGGAAGCUGUGCAGCCGGCAGCGGCCAGGGUGCCGGACACAAGCCCUGGACCUCGUCUUCAUGUUGGAUACCUCUGCCUCAGUAGGGCCUGAGAACUUUGCUCAGAUGCAGAGCUUUGUGAGAAGCUGUGCCCUCCAGUUUGAGGUGAACCCUGACGUGACACAGGUCGGCCUGGUGGUGUAUGGCAGCCAGGUGCAGACUGCCUUCGAGCUGGACGCCAAACCCACCCAGGCUGCGCUGCUGCGGGCCAUUAGCCAGGCCCCCUACCUGGGUGGGGUGGGCUCAGCCGGCACCGCCCUGCUGCACAUCUAUGACAAAGUCAUGACUGUCCAGAGGGGCGCCCGGCCUGGUGUCCCCAAAGCUGUGGUGGUGCUCACAGGCGGGAGAGGCGCAGAGGACGCGGCUGUCCCUGCCCAGAAGCUGAGGAACAACGGCAUCUCUGUCUUGGUCAUGGGCGUGGGGCCUGUCCUAAGCGAGGGUCUGCGGAGGCUUGCAGGUCCCCGGGAUUCCCUGAUCCACGUGGCAGCUUACACUGACCUGCGGUACCACCAGGACGUGCUCAUUGAGUGGCUGUGUGGAGAAGCCAAGCGGCCAGUCAACCUCUGCAAACCCAGCCCAUGCAUGAAUGAGGGCAGCUGCGUCCUGCAGAAUGGGAGCUACCGCUGCGAGUGCUGGGAUGGCUGGGAGGGCCCCCACUGUGAGAACCGAUUCUUGAGAGGAGACGCCCCCGAGGCACGUGGCUCCCAUGCAGGAGGGCAGCAGCCGUACCCCUCCCAGCAACUACAGAGAAGGCCUGGGCACUGAAAUGGUGCCUGCCUUCUGGAACAUCUGUGCCCUGGGGGUCCUUAGAAUGUCUGCUUCCCGCUGUGGCCAGGACCACUAUUCUCAGUGAGGGAGGAGGAUGUCCCAGCUGUAGCCAUGCUGCUUAGAGACAAGAAAGCAGCUGAUGUCACCCAGAAACGAUGUUGUUGAAAACUUUUGAUGUUUGUAUACCACGUCUUUUUGCAUUGCCUGGGACCUCCAGAAUAAUGUUUCACGAAGUAGCAGGUAUCCAUAUCUGGUUCUUGACUUUUUCAUUAUUAUAAUUGUUUUCUAUGGGUUACUUAUCAGUUUAAGAAUGCUUUAUUCCUAGAUAAACUGAGUGUUUAUUAUAUGUUGAGAUUUUUGGUAUGCUUUUUCUUCUUCAAGAUAAUGUGAUAGAUUAUCCAUUUAUAUAUUUUCAGUCAUUGAACAACCCUUGAUUUUUCUGGAUAAAUUCUAUUUGGUCAUUAAACAUCAUUCUAUAAACCCUGCUGAAUUUCAUUUGCCAGCAUUUUAUUUCAGAUUCUUUUAAUCUGUGUCCAACAAUGAGAUUUGUUUACUUUUGCAAUUUGUUUUGGAUUUUUGGUAUCAGAGCUAUACUAACAUUAUAAUGGAAAAUACAUAUUUCUCAAACUUUACACAGAUAUAAUUUGAAAAAUCUUGUCAGUAUCUGUACUUAAGGCCUCCAUUUCAGUUCUGCUAUUUUAUAUUGCCUUAGGUUGUCUAUUAGUCUUUUUAAUGAACCAGAUUUUGGUUUUGUCAUUUUUUAAAUAAACACAUUUAUGCUAUAAA